rnacentral:rRNA from 1 species
AUGAACGCUGGCGGCGUGCUUAACACCUGCAAGUCGUACGAUGAAGCCCAGCUUGCUGGGUGGAUUAGUGGCGAACGGGUGAGUAACACGUGAGUAACCUGCCCUUUACUCUGGGAUAAGCCCGGGAAACUGGGUCUAAUACCGGAUAGGAGCGCCUGUCGCAUGACGGGUGUUGGAAAGAUUUUUCGGUCAUGGAUGGACUCGCGGCCUAUCAGCUUGUUGGUGAGGUAAUGGCUCACCAAGGCGACGACGGGUAGCCGGCCUGAGAGGGUGACCGGCCACACUGGGACUGAGACACGGCCCAGACUCCUACGGGAGGCAGCAGUGGGGAAUAUUGCACAAUGGGCGGAAGCCUGAUGCAGCGACGCCGCGUGAGGGAUGACGGCCUUCGGGUUGUAAACCUCUUUCAGUAGGGAAGAAGCGAAAGUGACGGUACCUGCAGAAGAAGCACCGGCUAACUACGUG